rnacentral:rRNA from 1 species
UCGGCAAAGGAUAUCUCGGCUCUUGCAUCGAUGAAGAACGUAGCGAAAUGCGAUACUUGGUGUGAAUUGCAGAAUCCCGUGAACCAUCGAGUCUUUGAACGCAAGUUGCGCCCGAAGCCAUUAGGCCGAGGGCACGCCUGCCUGGGUGUCA